CCCUUAGAUGUUCUGGGCCGCACGCGUGCUACACUGAGUGGAUCAGCGGGUCAGGUUGCGCGAAAGUGUUUCCUAAUCUUUAAAUCCGCUCGUGAUGGGGAUCGACGGUUGCAAUUUUCCGUCAUGAACGAGGAAUACCUUGUAAGCGCGGGUCAUCAUCCCGCGCUGAAUACGUCCCUGCCCUUUGUACACACCGCCCGUCGCUCCUACCGAUUGAGUGGUCCGGUGAGGCUUUGGGAUCUGAGCGGAAAGAGCGUUUCGCUGUUUCUGCCCGGAAAACUCAGUCGAACCUUAUCAUUUAGAGGAAGGAGAAGUCGUAACA
rnacentral:rRNA from 1 species